rnacentral:tmRNA from 1 species
GGGGCCGACCUGGUUUCGACGUGGGUUGCAAAGCAGUAGCGGGCAUACCGAGGACCCGUCACCUCGUUAAUCAAUGGGAACGCAAUAAUUGCUACCUUUAGCAAAAACGAAGCUGCGAACGAUUCGUCGUUCGCUCUUGCCGCUUAAUAACCGGUAACUUCCCUCGUACUAGCUUGCCGAUAGGCUAGAGGCCGCAAGGCCACGCGAGGUCAUCAAUAUCGGACCGCUCCCGGAGAUCGCCACGGAUCCGGGUGCUAAAUCCAGUGGAUCGCCGUCGCGCAGCGUGUUCGUCCGCGUCGUUACGGUUAAAUCAAACGACUGAACUAAGUAUGUAGAACGCUCUGUGGAGGGCUUGCGGACGCGGGUUCGAUUCCCGCCGGCUCCACCA